UAUACACUCGCUGUUUCAUGAAUUCUCACUCGAUCGUGGUUUUUCUCGUUUCAUUUUCAGACUUUUUAGUAUGAGGCCUGGACAAAGGCCAUGAAACAAACAAAAUUCUUAGCAAUAUUUUUUCUAGUAGCCGCCGUUCUCAUAAAACCUAGUGAUUGUGGUAUUUUUGGUUUGGGGGCUCUACCACUUUGUCUGGCAGGUUGUGAAGCAGCACGUGGGCUCUGCAUCGCUGCGAUAACUGCCCCGUCUGGAGGUGCCGCAUUUAUAGCUGCUCUUGGUGCAUGUAAUGCCGUCCAUACAGGAUGUGUUGCAGGUUGCUACGCGUUCGCUGCAUCGCCAGCGUGAUCCCGGCCUGGUCGUAUUUAAAGUCAUUACGUCUGUUUCCACAAUUAUUAUGAUGUAUUACUUCUUGAAAAUGCAAUCAAAAUGAAUGUUAAAAAUGUGCUACACUAAACUGCAAGAAUUUAAUAAAAUGUAAUAAUCGAAACUUAA